CCGGGGCGGGCAGAACGAGGGAGGGAUGGAGGGAACAUCCAUCAUCGCGCCCCUCGGGCCGCCCCCUCCCAGGUCCCGAAAUCCAGACUCUCCUGCCAUCCUGCACAUUACCUGCACGGUCUAAGUGAACACAGGCUGUUCUGUAGAGAAGAAAUCUGCCACUGCUCUAUCUCCUUUCCAGCAUUUUUACUUACACAAACAGAACUGGAGCUUCAGUAGACCGAAAACUGAAGGACAGAUGCUGGAAUGCACAACUGUGUCUUUAUAUAGUCAGUGCAGGAUCUUGUCACUGAUGUCAACAGCAGCAGGGCUGUGCCUUUCAACACUAAUAUUUUGGACACUGAGAGGGAGAGGUGCAAGUCUCUAUGGAAAGUAGGUUAGCUUCAGUUUAUCUUAGUCUAUCUCAGGGCUUCAUACUACUUAGAGAAGAGCAGAUCUGCUGUCUAGGUCAGAAAAAUGUUCUUGAGGCAUGUAAUUCUAAAUGAAAGUGAGAAGUCCAGCUAGGAAAUUUUCAUUAAUGAGAGUUUCCUGGAGCCAUUUAGUCUUGUGUUUAAGGGUGUGUUGGUUAUUUAUGGCAGAGAAAAGGAACGGAUAUGUUGAUGUUCUGGAACUUUUCCUUUGUGCAUUGUUUCCCAUUUCACAGUUGUAUUUGGCACCCACUUUCCUCCAGC